AUUGAACGCUGGCGGCAUGCCUUACACAUGCAAGUCGAACGGCAGCACGGGAGCUUGCUCCUGGUGGCGAGUGGCGAACGGGUGAGUAAUACAUCGGAACGUACCCAGGAGUGGGGGAUAACGUAGCGAAAGUUACGCUAAUACCGCAUAUUCUGUGAGCAGGAAAGCGGGGGAUCGCAAGACCUCGCGCUCUUGGAGCGGCCGAUGUCGGAUUAGCUAGUUGGUGAGGUAAAAGCUCACCAAGGCGACGAUCCGUAGCAGGUCUGAGAGGAUGAUCGCCCACCCUGGGACUGAGACACGGCCCAGACUCCUACGGGAGGCAGCAGUGGGGAAUUUUGGACAAUGGGGGCAACCCUGGUCCAGCCAUGACGCGUGAGCGAAGAAGGCCUUCGUGUUGUAAAGCUCUUGCGGCGGGGAAGAAAUGGCAACGGCUAAUAGCCGUUGUUGAUGACGGUACCCGCAUAAGAAGCACCGGCUAACUACGUGCCAGCCGCCGCGGUAA
rnacentral:rRNA from 1 species